UUGUUGCAGGUAAGUUAUUGUUCCCCCUGUGUUUGGCUGUGUUACACAUGAAUUAUUACACGUGUUUCUCCGGACCUUCUUGAAUGUAGUAAUUGCGGGUUACGUGUACAUAUCUUGAAGGGGAUGGUCAAGUAAAUCUAAAUAUACGACGUUUGUCAACUUAAUUGGCCAAUUUAUUUCUUAUUGGUAAUCAAGGGAAGUUAGGUGUAUUUAUUGAAUUCCAUUGUUAGUCGGGUUUUGGAAAAGUUUUUACAGCAGCAAGUGGUCCCGAAACAUGAAUUCUACCUUUAAAUGGUAAGUAUUGCAGACUAUGGUAACUGACUAAUUACUGUGAUUGUAUUUCCCAUUAAACCAUUGUAUGAGCUAGAUCUGCUUAGUGGGAUAUUUAUGUUCUUUUAUCCUUUUGGCAGUCUGGUGGUGUGAUGGCUUGUGUUAGACCCAAGUUCUGUGAUGUGUUGGACCAAUAAUUAAUGGUGGAGCAGCCUUGUCACAUUGUUUUGUGUUUAUUGAGCAUCUUACAUGCAAAAGGUGCUACGUGGAUUAGUGAUAAUUAACUUUCAUAACAUGUCUUCAAUUUGUGACAGGUUGGGUGAAAUGGUUGCGAGAAGCUAUUUGAAAGUGAUCCCUAUCUGUAUUCUGUGGAUUUGUGGAGGUCAAGUAAAGUUUGUCUGCUUUUGUUGCUGGCAGUCAUUGGUAAUUUCAUGACAAUUCGGAUGCUGUAAGUUAAUGGAUCAUUUCAGGUACUAACAUUGGUUUUAUGUUUGCAUCUUAGUUUGGCAUGUAAGUGCCAACAGGUGUCAAGUUGGUGGUUUAUUAGUAUGUGAUUAUGGAUUUUUUUGGGUGAUAGGGUGAUAUUUUGGCAUACUUUAUACUAGUUUGGUGUCAAGAUUAGGCAACAGCGGUGGUAAACGGAUGUGAAGCAGAAAUUUCAAAGAUGCACUGUCGGUACUAGUCUUCCUGUAUCAGGGCUUAUAAUGCAGGUUGCAGUGUUAAAAGUUUCACCAGGCGAUUUUGUAUUACGCUCUGUUCCAACUUGUAGGGGAGAAAAUUGCUUCAUUGCCAUCGUUUAGGAAAUUGACAGAUGAUAAAUUAUGAUGUAUGGUUAAUUUGGUUUUUCUAACAGUUAUGCUGGUGGUUUGUUCCUGUGCUUAGGCUGUUUUAUCCGGUGGAGGUAGCUGAGCUGACGUGUUUAAGGCACCAAUAAGCAUUUGCAAAUUGUUCAAUAGUAUGUUCAAUAUGUAAUGUUAAUUUGAUGAGGAAAAUUUAAUUUUGGAUAACUGUAAAUGUUUCAGCUGCUUUCUGAUUUUUUCAUG